GACGCAAAUUGCACUCUUUGGUAUUCCGAGGAGUAUGCCUGCUUAAGGGUUGGUCUACAAGAAAAUCGUGAAAAAGAAUUAGGUUUCCUAAUACUUUGGCCUAAAGCUUAUCUUAACGAUCUUUAGGCAUUAAGUUUGUUGGUAAUUACUACCAAUUGUUACGUCGUGUUAUUCGCCUAGUACCUUUUGAUUAGGUGAGCCGACCUCAAGUCAAGAAUACCCGCAGGACUUAA
rnacentral:misc_RNA from 1 species